GGGUCCCCAUGAGGUCCAGCCCUGGGCUCUGACCUCCUGUGAGGACAAGGUGCUCUCCAGGACCUUUGACACCCGGGAUCUGAGGGGCCU